UCCCAUUGCGGCGUGCUACCAUGCAAGUCGAACGAUGAACCGCUUUCGGGCGGGGAUUAGUGGCGAACGGGUGAGUAACACGUGGGCAAUCUGCCCUGCACUCUGGGACAAGCCCUGGAAACGGGGUCUAAUACCGGAUAUGACUGUCCAUCGCAUGGUGGAUGGUGUAAAGCUCCGGCGGUGCAGGAUGAGCCCGCGGCCUAUCAGCUUGUUGGUGAGGUAGUGGCUCACCAAGGCGACGACGGGUAGCCGGCCUGAGAGGGCGACCGGCCACACUGGGACUGAGACACGGCCCAGACUCCUACGGGAGGCAGCAGUGGGGAAUAUUGCACAAUGGGCGAAAGCCUGAUGCAGCGACGCCGCGUGAGGGAUGACGGCCUUCGGGUUGUAAACCUCUUUCAGCAGGGAAGAAGCGAAAGUGACGGUACCUGCAGAAGAAGCGCCGGCUAACUACGUGCCAGCAGCCGCGGUAAUACGUAGGGCGCAAGCGUUGUCCGGAAUUAUUGGGCGUAAAGAGCUCGUAGGCGGCUUGUCACGUCGGUUGUGAAAGCCCGGGGCUUAACCCCGGGUCUGCAGUCGAUACGGGCAAGCUAGAGUUCGGUAGGGGAGAUCGGAAUUCCUGGUGUAGCGGUGAAAUGGGCCAAUAUCAGGAGGAACACCGGAGGCGAAGGCGGAUCUU
rnacentral:rRNA from 1 species